rnacentral:rRNA from 1 species
AUGGACUUAUUACUGCCACUAAUAUCACUUAUUUUGAUUGCUGGAGGAGACAGUCAGCAUGCGAGGUUCAUUGAUGCUGCCAUGACGACAUCACCAAACUCGCGAUCGUUAACGCUGACGAAGAACUGGGAGGCAGUGCUUCCCAAAACUCCAAUGCCCCCAGCUAUCAGCGACUUGAUAGCCCAACAAGAUGAUGACAUUACUAUUGGAUCCAAUGACCUCAAGUUUGUCAAAGGACUGCGGAAAAUUAGACCAGGAUAUGGAAGAGGCAAACUAGAAGAUGAUAAUGGAGAUAAACAUGUUCAUAUUGCAUCUGAAGUUGAAUAUGGUUUAAAGGAGCUAUCUGAGUCAGAACAUGAAGGGGAUCCAAAAAGACUUACAAUGUCAUAUGAGCCAGAACUUGAAGAGGGUCCAGAUAAACUUACAAUGUCAUAUGGGUCACAACAUGAAGAGGAUCCAGAAAAACUUACAAUGUCAUAUGGGUCACAAUAUGAAGAAGAUCCUGAUAAACUUACAAUGUCAUAUGGGUCAGAACAUGAAGAUGACCGAGAAAAGGUUACAAUGUCUUAUGGGUCAGAACAUUGA